AAGAGGUGUAUGAACAAUUAAAACUGCUAA
rnacentral:tRNA from 1 species